GAUGAACGCUGGCGGCGUGCCUAAUACAUGCAAGUCGAGCGAACGGACGAGAAGCUUGCUUCUCUGAUGUUAGCGGCGGACGGGUGAGUAACACGUGGAUAACCUACCUAUUAGACUGGGAUAACUUCGGGAAACCGGAGCCAAUACCGGAGAAUAUUUUGAACCGCAUGGUUCAAAAGUGAAAGACGGUCUUGCUGUCACUUAUAGAUGGAUCCGCGCUGCAUUAGCUAGUUGGUAAGGUAACGGCUUACCAAGGCAACGAUGCAUAGCCGACCUGAGAGGGUGAUCGGCCACACUGGAACUGAGACACGGUCCAGACUCCUACGGGAGGCAGCAGUCGGGAAUCUUCCGCAAUGGGCGAAAGCCUGACGGAGCAACGCCGCGUGAGUGAUGAAGGUCUUCGGAUCGUAAAACUCUGUUAUUAGGGAAGAACAUAUGUGUAAGUAACCGUGCACAUCUUGACGGUACCUAAUCAGAAAGCCACGGCUAACUUCGUG
rnacentral:rRNA from 1 species